UACGUAGGGGGCUAGCGUUGUCCGGAAUCAUUGGCGUAAAGCGCGUGUAGGCGGUCCGGUAAGUCCGCUGUGAAAGUCGGGGGCUCAACCCUCGGAUGCCGGUGGAUACUGUCGGGCUUGAGUACGGAAGAGGCGAGUGGAAUUCCUGGUGUAGCGGUGAAAUGCGCAGAUAUCAGGAGGAACACCAAUUGCGAAGGCAGCUCGCUGGGACGUUACUGACGCUGAGACGCGAAAGCGUGGGGAGCAAACAGG
rnacentral:rRNA from 1 species